CUGGACUCCACUCCAGUUUCCUCUACCUGGGCUGGUCAGCCGCGUGCAGGGGGCAGCCUCUGCAUUAAUUCCCUGAGCUGCCAUGGGUGGGGCAGCCCUUGGGAUGGCCUAGGGCACUGGCAGGGUUUUCAGAAUUUCAGAAUGAGACCUCGUGGGCAGAUGCUUGGACUCUAAUUUGGGUUCCCUAUCUCAUUAGUGAUAUGAUCUUGACAGUUACAAUUUCUUUCCAGUCCUCAGCUUCCCCAUCUGUAAAAUUGGCAAUCAUCAAUAUGUCAUCUGAAGCUAUGAAAGGCAAGAAAAUUCGCCCUUUCCUUCUGGAGUCACAGUCAGCCUGGGUCCUUAGCCACAUCUGAGUAGGUAAUCCAAGCCAGUGGUUAUCAUGUUCGUUCACCAUCCUCAUAAUGAAGGCUGAGGGGACAGAGAUACAAAACUGGGAGACAGUCCAGUAACUGCAGCACUCUGCUCUUGGGGUAUGUGCUGAGGAGCUUCCCCUCAGAGAGAUUUAGUUGGUGGGCAUAAGGCACCUCCACAUGCCUGUCCUUUAAGUCCUUACUUUGCCGCUCACUUUGUGGCAGGUGUGGGUCAUACUAUCUCCAAUGGUUUUCAAGUCUGU